rnacentral:rRNA from 1 species
UACGUAGGGGGCUAGCGUUGUCCGGAAUCAUUGGGCGUAAAGCGCGUGUAGGCGGUCCGGUAAGUCCGCUGUGAAAGUCGGGGGGCUCAACCCUCGAAUGCCGGUGGAUACUGUCGGGCUAGAGUGCGGAAGAGGCGAGUGGAAUUCCUGGUGUAGCGGUGAAAUGCGCAGAUAUCAGGAGGAACACCAAUUGCGAAGGCAGCUCGCUGGGACGUAACUGACGCUGAGACGCGAAGGCGUGGGGAGCAAACAGG